GCUGUACAUGAUGACAAUAGGCUCCCUCUACUGAACUCCUGUGAAGAAACUGCCUGUCACCUUCUGACACAGC